UUUCGAGAAUGCAACUGAGGUCCUGACCACUCUUUUCAAACACCACAAGUCCCAUCAGUCUGCUGCAAAUGCCAAUAACAGCAUCAGGAUUUUUUAUCAUGGCUACAGAUGGAACCGGAACCGGAGCCAAAGUCUUUAGGAGCUUUUGGAGUCAAGGGGCUAUAACUCAAAUGGGAGAGGAGUUUGUUUUCUUACGGCAUUCAUCAGUGAGAGUAUGAGUUAAGUGGUGGGAAGACAUUUCCAUCUGGAGGGAACCUCUCCUUUGACCUCACAAUCAAUACCAUUCGACUCCUGACGAGGGACAGGCGAAUGACGUCAUUCCAGAACCAACAUCCCUGAUGCUGAAUAAAAAUCAGAAAAUCUA